rnacentral:rRNA from 1 species
CAGCCGCCGCGGUAAUACGAAGGGGGCUAGCGUUGCUCGGAAUGACUGAGCGUAAAGGGCGCGUAGGCGGCGGCCAAAGUCAGGCGUGAAAUUCCUGGGCUCAACCUGGGGGCUGCGCUUGAUACUUGGUUGCUUGAGUGGGGAAGAGGGUCGUGGAAUUCCCAGUGUAGAGGUGAAAUUCGUAGAUAUUGGGAAGAACACCGGUGGCGAAGGCGGCGACCUGGUCCUUGACUGACGCUGAGGCGCGAAAGCGUGGGGAGCAAACAGGAUUAGAUACCCCUGUAGUCCCUGUCUCUUAUAC